UCAGGCGUUCGACUCAGGCGAUAAUGCACGUAGUCCCAAUGCUGGACAUUUAAUCUCUCCCGCUGUGCUAGGCUAGGUGCUAGUGUGCUAGUAGUCACAAACACGAAACACAUCAACAAGUCACGUUCGUAAGAGUUCGUUGCGCAUGAUUCCACAAGAUUCAUUUUCCGUCAUUUUGUUUAUGAUUUUGUCCUGUUUUGUUUUUUUUUUAAAUAGAGGUAAUUUUAUGACCAGUGAUAUGGCUAAGACAGAUAGACUAUUAUUGAAAUGGAACAACAUACAAUAAUAUGUAGAACAUGUUGUGUUGGUGGUUGUACCUUCUCCACAUCGAUUACGUUUUCCAGAGAUGAAAUGGACAUGUUCUUGGAAGGGUUGAAACUUAUUCAAAGCAUUUUAAAGAUGAUUUUAAGAUACAUGAGAGUUCGAACAAGAGGAAUUACCAAAGGGGCCAUCCCAAGCUCAUUUUUACCACCACUAGGAAUAUGCAAAAGACCUAUGCAUGAGUUAAAAGAAAUGACCAGAGACAGAGAUCUUUUUAGACAGACAAUAUAUGACAUCACGUCGACCACUACACUCCCUCCUGGGGGUCAGGAUUGAAGAGAGAGAUUAUCAGGAUGAAAAGGCUACUGAAGAAUCUCAAUUUAUUGACAUGCAUGGUAAUAUGUUAUAAAGUACUUCCACUCUAACUUUUCCCAUGCACGAAAUUAUUGACGAACUACUAUUCAUACAAGGUCUCUUUUUAACUCACAGACACUCUGAGAGUAGUACAUAUCAAUGCCACACAUCAAUGUAUGUUUCGCUUUAUUUUUUGAUAUCAACGCAUGUGAAAAGUCAGAGUGGAAGAACUAUAAAAAUAUACCUUACCUACAUUCUAAAUUGUAAUAAUUUUGCUUUUCAUUCACAGUCAUUUAUUUCGAGCCUCUGUCAUAUGUCCUAUAAUCCAUGUAUAUUAAUAUUUUACACAGAUUAGCUUAGUUUCGAGCAUCCAUCAUAGGAAUCUCAUAUAAUAUUAAUAUAAUCUGUGUAUAAUAUUAAUAUACAUGAAUUAUAGGACAUAUGACAGAAGUUCGAAAUAAAUGACUGUGAAUGAAAAGCCCUAUUAUUACAAUUGAGAAUGUAGGUGAGGUAUAUUUUUAUAGUUCUUAUAAUAUUAUAAUAUGUAUUAUGCUCAUAUAAUGAUAUUAUCCACUGUACUGAAAGGUAAAAAUUUUAACCCACAAAUCAACUUUUUUCAGGAAGUAGAGAAAACGUUCCACUUAAGUAAUUUGGUGAGGAAUUAACCUCAUCAAAACAAACGUAUAUAUCAAUAAUUGAACUAUAAAGUAAUGAAAACAAUUAUUAGGUUAAUUCCUCACCAAAUUACAAACGUCUUUUCUACUUCAUGAAAAAAGUUGAUUUGUGAUAAAUACAGUAAAUCCUCUGUUAACUGAAACAUUGCUUAACCGAAAUGGGUCAAUAGUUACAGUUUCAAUAAUUACGUCAAUAAAAGGUAAAUUUUUAUAUCAAAACAGAAAUAAUUCAAUGUUAAUUUGUCAACAUUGCUUUCAUACAACUAAAAUAUGCAAUUUAUUUAUUUAUUUAUACAGGGUGCCUGCUUAACUUGGAACCAUAUGGGAAACUUUUGUAAUAUCAAUUUUACGAAAAAAAGUCAUUCUUUAUAAAGUGCUCUGCAUAGUCUAAAACCUACGAUGCAAUCAUCAGAAAUCAAAUUUUGUCAAUAAUAUACAAGGUAUGUCAAAAAAUAUUAAUAUCGCUCAAGAGCAAACUACCUUUAUAUUUCAAAAUAUCAAAAAAUUUUAUUAUGGAAAGUUAUUUGUAAUUAAAAACCAUAUUCAAAUAUGCAAUAACAGCCUUCUACAUGAAAAAAAAAUUCUGAGAUUUUCCUAAAUUACUGAUUCCAAACAUCAUUUUUAUUUAUUAGACCUGUAAUAACUCUUUUAUUAAUAAUUUUAGGAAAAAAAGUUAUUCUUCAUAAAAAUCUGUGCAUGGUCUAAACCUCAAGAUGCAACCAUCAGUUAUCCAAGUUUGUUAAUUUUAUACGAGGUUUGUCAAAUAAUAUGACUUUAGAAAGAAUUCUUUCUAUAUUCUUUCUAAAUUCAUAGUAUUUGACACACCUCGUAUAAAACUAACAAACUUGGAAAACUGAUGGUUUUAUCUUGAGGUUUAGACUAUGCAGAGAUUUUUAUGAAGAAUAAGUUUUUUCCUAAAAUUUUUAAUAAAAGAGUUAUUACAUGUCUAAUAGAUAAAAAUGAUGUUCGGAAUCGGUAAUUUAAGAAAAUCUCAGAAUUUUUUUUUUCACGUAGAAGGCUGUUAUUGCAUAUUUGAAUAUGGUUUUUAAUUAUAAAUAACUUUUCAUAAUAAAAUUUUUUGAUAUUUUGAAAUAUAAAGGUAGUUUGCUCUUGAGCGAAAUUAAUAUUUUUUGACAUACCUGAUGAUUGCAUCUUAGGUUUUACACUAUGCAGAGCACUUUAUAAAGAAUGACUUUUUUCGUAAAAUUGAUAUUAAAAAAGUUUCCCAUAUGGUUCCAAGUUACGCAGACACCCUGUAUACGGGAUUACCCCCAUUACAAAACAUACAGUAUAAAAUCAAUAUAUGUAAUAUCUACUAAACUAGAGUAAAAUAAAUCUUAAUUACACAUUAAACAAAAACGAAAUAUUAAUAGUUAUCCAUUACACAUAUUACAUCUAUUACACAAAUCAGUUAAAAUAAACAAAAAAGUACUAUUCUGUAGUACUUAGUAAAGUAUUAUUCUGAAUUUACAUAGUAAAGAAAAUAUUACAAAAUCACCUCAUAGUAUUUUUUAAUGUCAACUGUGACCAAGAAUACUAUGUAAUUUGAUAUAAGAAGAAUACAAAAACACUUAUUUUUAACCGAAAUUCUUGUUAUCUGAAACAGCCUCCCCCCAAUUAUUUCGGUUAACAGAGGUUUUACUCUAUGCAAAUGCAUAUCAAAAGUAUUUAAAAAUAAAACAAAACAUUAAAUAUAACAUUUUUGUUUAAUACAUUUUUUCUUUACAUAAAAACAAAUGAAAUGACACAAAAACUUAUAGAUAUUGUAAUUAAGAAUCUAAAACAUUAUAGUAUGAAUUUAUAUUAAAUUCUUUCAUUAAACAUUAGGAGGUCCUAAAGAACAAAAGCGGGAUUGUCCACAAUUUGAAGAUUUUUUGUACUUUUAUGAUUUUCUGUUUUUCUGUAUACAGUGAGGACGUUUGAGUUGGAAUAAAUUAAUUUUCUCGAGAAUGGCUGACUAUGGAGAUAAAUCCGGAAACCUUUUCGAAUUAUUUCGAUGGUCGAUUUUUAUUUUUAAAUUGUAAUUUUUUAUCAUUUAUCAUAAUCCCCGUGACGUCAUCUGUCUGGGCGUGAUGACGUAAUUGACUAUUUUUUUAAAUGAGAAUAGGGGUCGUGUGAUAGUUCAUUCGAAAGGUUCUCCAAUGCUCUAUUCACUAAUAUAAACAUUAAUAUAAUUAUUUAUAAUGUCAAACAAAUUUUUUUUGAAUUAAAUUAAUUGAGAUAAAAAGAAGAAUGUUUACAAUUUAUUUAAUUCGAAAUAGAUUUUACUAUUUCCAAAAACAGGAAAAAAUGUUUAUUUGAUAAAUAAAUAUUGUUUAUCGCUUAAAUUAAAUAUUAAAGUGCCAACCACCUGCCUUUUGGUAGUUUGAACGUUUAAUUUAAGCGAAAAACAAUAUUUAUUUAUCAAAUAAACAUAUUUUCUCUGCUUUAGGGCAACAGUAAAAUGUAUUUUGAAUUAAAUAAAUUGUAAACAUUCUUCAUUUUGUCUCAAUUAAUUUAUGUAAUUAAAAAAAAUUUGGGCACACUGUAUUAACAAUUAUGUUAAUGUUUAUAUUAGUGAAUAUAGAAUUGAUUAGCCUUUCGAAUGAGUUAUCACGCGACCCCUAUUUCCAUUUAAAAAAUUCAAUGAUUACGUUAUUAUGCUCAGAUGGAUGGCGUUAGAAAUUUCCCACCGAGAAAAUUAAUUUAUUCCAACUCAGAUGUCCUCACUGUAUAAGUAAAAUCGAAUUUAUAGCAUAAAAUUUUAUGCUUAUCAUAUUUUUUGCCUACAUUUUUUACAAAAAGUGUGUCUGCAUUUUUUAAAUAAUUUCAAUUUACAGCUAAUAUUUUCAUUUUGUUUUUAGCAAAUAAAAUUGUGUUUUUCAUUUACUGGACUCGUAUGAAUCUCAAUCAUUAUUUUUAUUGUUUUACAUAUUUCCUUCUUUGCCAACCAUUUUCCAUCAACUCCCAAAUUUAGGUCUCUCACAAUUGCUUCAUCCUUUUUUAUCUUGCGCCAUUCUGAUCCACUGUUUGCCUGCCACUGUUCUUAUGCCAUCUACCCAUCUCUUUUGAGUCUUCCCAUGCUUAUUUCGUCUUGCUUGGUCUCUAUUCUACAAUUCUCUCUAUCCACCUGCUAUCAUUAUAAUUGACUGUGUGACCAGCCCAACAUCAUUUCAUUUUUUAAAUUUCUUCCAUGAUAUCCCUGAUACAGUCUCCAAUUCGUAUGUACAAACUGGUAGUAUGCAUGUGUUAUACAGCUAUGUUUAUAGAAAUGGGGGUGUUGUUUAAAAUACAUUCUAGUUCACCAAAAGCGGCCCAUCCCAGUUGUGUUUUUCUAAUUUCAGCAUCUGGAUUUGGUUUUCACAGUCUGAUGACGUGGCCUGUGUAUACAUAAUGUUCAACAUUCAGUUAGUUCUUGGACAUGUUUCUAAUAAAAAUAUGUUUUCAAAUGGUUUAAUUAUGAUCCGUUGAUGUUUAUGCACCUUUUCCAUUUUAAUUUCUUAAAAAUAUCUUCUAGUUGUAGAGUAAGGGGAAUAGUUUGGGAGAAAUGGUGCCUCCUUAUCUCACUCUCUGUUGUAGAUAGUUACAUAGUUCACUUUUAUUAUGCAUGCUUAUAUAUUUUACUUUUCUCUUUAUUAUUUAAGUUGAUGAUUUUAUACACAUGAUGACAUUAUAAUAUAGAUGAAAAAUAAAGCUCAUAACAUUCACCCUUUCAGUCACCAUGUUCGUUUAAAUGAACACCAAAUUCCCGUUUUUUACAUUGAAUCACCGCAAUCGUCUCUGUACGUUGUACUAGGCUAGGCAUAAUAAUGUUUAUGGGUAACAUUUUUUGUUUAUAAAUCUUUAAAAACAUCAUAUAUUUCAACCUCAAAGUUUUAAAUGUUUAUCUUUGCAAACAAAAACUCAUAACUGAAAGGAUUAAGGCGCGCGCGCGCACCCCCCCCCCCCCACACACACACACACACACACACACACACACCACACACACACCACACACACACAUUUGGGUAAUUUGCGCCUAACAAAUCGAUGAUACAUCAGUUAAGUGGAGCUGGACUAAAGUGCCUCACACGGUUCAGCAAUAUUCGGUAAAUAUUUCAUAUGAGGGUUCUUUAUCCCUGCACUCUCACAUGGCAAUCAUUUUGACGAUUCUAUAGCGCAUCAGCGUGCUGUGGGAGGGGUGGAGGAAAGCCUGGGGAGCAUUGGAGCUCGAAGGAGUGGUCCCUGAUUUACUCAGACCAAUCCUUCUCACCCCAAUGAAUUGUAUGCCUGAAUGGCCAUAUGGGCAUGCAAGUCUCUACAGGUGUGUUUACUUUUUGCUUGCUUGCUCGUGAGUAAUUCCAUUUAUCAUUUAGUAGGUCAGAGUCAAUAGAUGCCUAGGCUCAAAAUGGGACCCAUUUCCAUUGAGUAUAACGUGGAUCCCUGCACAAGGAUAUACGUGAAGACCAGAAUGGUAGCAGUCACGUAUAAAAUAUAUCUAUGAUAUGAUACUUCUGUAAUUCCAUACAAAUUUUGAUUGCUCAAGUAAUUUUAUAAAGUAAUUUACAGAAAUAAAUAACUUUUUAAGAA
rnacentral:misc_RNA from 1 species